rnacentral:rRNA from 1 species
UACGGAGGAUGCGAGCGUUAUCCGGAUUUAUUGGGUUUAAAGGGUGCGUAGGCGGCUUAGUAAGUCAGCGGUGAAAUUUUGCAGCUUAACUGUAACAGUGCCGUUGAUACUGCCAGGCUAGGAUUUGGUUGCUGUGGGUGGAAUGUGUGGUGUAGCGGUGAAAUGCUUAGAUAUCACACAGAAUAUCGAUUGCGAAGGCAGCUCACAAAGCCAAGAUUGACGCUGAGGCACGAAAGUGUGGGGAUCAAACAGGA